rnacentral:rRNA from 1 species
GGUCAAGCUACAAAGGGCGCAUGGUGAAUGCCUUGGCAUCAGGAGCCGAUGAAGGACGUGAUAAGCUGCGAUAAGCUUCGGGUAGGCGCACAUAGCCUGAGAUCCGAAGAUCUCCGAAUGAGGAAACUCACAUGGGAAACCCCAUGUAUCAUUAAGUGAAUACAUAGCUUAAUGAAGGUAACCCAGGGAACUGAAACAUCUAAGUACCUGGAGGAAGAGAAAGAAAAAUCGAUUUUCUUAGUAGCGGCGAGCGAAAGGGAAAGAGCCCAAACCGGAAACUUGUUUCCGGGGUUGUGGACAUAACAUAAAAGUGGAGGCUAUUGUAACUGAAGAGAACUGGAAAGUUCCACCGUAGAAGGUAAUAGUCCUGUAAGUGAAACGAGAAGACCACGAGUUAUGAUCCAGAGUACCACGAGACACGUGAAACCUUGUGGGAAGCAGGGAGGACCACCUCCCAAGGCUAAAUACUACCUGAUGACCGAUAGUGAAGCAGUACCGUGAGGGAAAGGUGAAAAGAACCCCGGGAGGGGAGUGAAAUAGAACCUGAAACCGUGUGCCUACAACCGCUCAGAGCCCCUUAUGAGGGUGAUGAGGUGCUUUUUGUAGAACGAGCCAACGAGUUACGGUAUGUAGCAAGGUUAAGUACUUAAGGUACGGAGCCGAAGGGAAACCGAGUCUGAAUAGGGCGACUAGUUGCAUGCCGUAGACCCGAAACCGGGUGACCUAUCCAUGGCCAGGUUGAAGCGAGGGUAAAACCUCGUGGAGGACCGAACCACGUUGCUGUUGAAAAAGCAUGGGAUGAGCUGUGGAUAGCGGAGAAAUUCCAAUCGAACCCGGAGAUAGCUGGUUCUCUCCGAAAUAGCUUUAGGGCUAGCGUCGAGUAUGAGUAGUGGAGGUAGAGCACUGAAUGGGCUAGGGGGCAUAGCGCUUACCGAACCUUAUCAAACUCCGAAUGCCACAUACUUUGAGCUCGGCAGUCAGACUACGAAUGAUAAGAUCCGUGGUCAAAAGGGAAACAGCCCAGAUCGUCAGCUAAGGUCCCAAAGUGUAAGUUAAGUGGGAAAGGAUGUGAGAUUUCUAAGACAACUAGGAUGUUGGCUUAGAAGCAGCCAUUCAUUAAAAGAGUGCGUAAUAGCUCACUAGUCGAGAGAUCUUGCGCCGAAAAUGUAACGGGGCUAAACUUACCACCGAAGCUACGGGCUUGAACUUAGUUCAAGCGGUAGGAGAGCGUCGUAACCGGGCUGAAGUCGUACCGUAAGGAGCGGUGGACUGGUUACGAGUGAGAAUGUUGGCAUCAGUAGCGAGAUGUGGGUGAGAAUCCCACAGGCCGAAAACCUAAGGUUUCCUCAGGAAGGUUCGUCCGCUGAGGGUUAGUCGGGACCUAAGCCGAGGCCGAAAGGCGUAGGUGAUGGACAACUGGUUGAUAUUCCAGUACCACUACCAUCGUUAUUAUCGAUGGCGUGACGCAGGAGGAUAGUGUAUGCUAGCUAUUGGAUGCUAGUCUAAGCGUUUAGGCAGUGAGAGUAGGCAAAUCCGCUCUCAUAAUGCUGAGGCGUGAUGGGGAAGGUUCUACGGAACCGAAGUACAUGAUUCCACGCUGCCAAGAAAAGCGUCUAGAGAGAGAAGUAGUGCCCGUACCGCAAACCGACACAGGUAGGUGAGGAGAGAAUCCUAAGGCCGGCGGAAGAAUUACAGUUAAGGAACUCGGCAAAUUGACCCCGUAAGUUCGCGAGAAGGGGUGCCUACGAGAGUAGGCCGCAGAGAAUAGGCCCAAGCAACUGUUUAGCAAAAACACAGGUCUCUGCUAAAGCGUAAGCUGAUGUAUAGGGGCUGACGCCUGCCCGGUGCUGGAAGGUUAAGGGGAACACUUAGCGCAAGCGAAGGUGUGAACUUAAGCCCCAGUAAACGGCGGCCGUAACUAUAACGGUCCUAAGGUAGCGAAAUUCCUUGUCAGGUAAGUUCUGACCCGCACGAAUGGCGUAAUGACUUGGGCACUGUCUCAACUGUAAAUCCGGCGAAGUUGUAGUGCGAGUGAAGAUGCUCGCUACCCGCGAUUGGACGGAAAGACCCCGUAGAGCUUUACUGUAGCUUAGCAUUGAGUUUUGGUAUUGUCUGUACAGGAUAGGUGGGAGACUAGGAAACCAGGGCGUCAGCCUUGGUGGAGUCAACCUUGGGAUACCACCCUGACAGUACUGAAAUUCUAACUGGCGGCCAUGAAUCUGGUCACAGGACAUUGUUAGGUGGGCAGUUUGACUGGGGCGGUCGCCUCCUAAAAAGUAACGGAGGCGCCCAAAGGUUCCCUCAGAACGGUCGGAAAUCGUUCGAAGAGUGCAAAGGCAGAAGGGAGCCUGACUGCGACACCCACAAGUGGAGCAGGGACGAAAGUCGGGCUUAGUGAUCCGGUGGUACCUCGUGGGAGGGCCAUCGCUCAACGGAUAAAAGCUACCUCGGGGAUAACAGGCUGAUCUCCCCCAAGAGUCCACAUCGACGGGGAGGUUUGGCACCUCGAUGUCGGCUCGUCGCAUCCUGGGGCUGAAGUAGGUCCCAAGGGUUGGGCUGUUCGCCCAUUAAAGCGGCACGCGAGCUGGGUUCAGAACGUCGUGAGACAGUUCGGUCCCUAUCCGUCGCGGGCGUAGGAAAUUUGAGAGGAGCUGUCCUUAGUACGAGAGGACCGGGAUGGACUGACCUCUGGUGUACCAGUUGUUCCGCCAGGAGCACAGCUGGGUAGCUAAGUCGGGAAUGGAUAAACGCUGAAAGCAUCUAAGCGUGAAGCCAACCUCAAGAUGAGAUUUCCCAUAGCAUAAGCUAGUAAGAUCCCUUGAAGAACACAAGGUUGAUAGGUCGGGGGUGUAAGCAUGGUAACAUGUUCAGCUGACCGAUACUAAUAGAUCGAGGGCUUGACCAA